rnacentral:Y_RNA from 1 species
UGUCUCCUCCAAAUGCAGUGGUGUUUCCAACUGAUUUGUCACAACCAGUUACAGAUUUCUUUGUUCCUUCUCCACUCUCACUGCUUCACUUGACGAGCAUUUU